UACGGGGGGAGCAAGCGUUGUUCGGAUUUACUGGGCGUAAAGGGCGCGUAGGCGGUCGUGACAAGUCACUUGUGAAAUCUCCGGGAUUAACUCGGAACGGUCAAGUGAUACUGUCGGACUAGAGUACAGAAGGGGCAACUGGAAUUCUCGGUGUAGCGGUGAAAUGCGUAGAUAUCGAGAGGAACACCUGCGGCGAAGGCGGGUUGCUGGGCUGAUACUGACGCUGAGGCGCGAAAGCCAGGGGAGCGAAUGGG
rnacentral:rRNA from 1 species